rnacentral:ncRNA from 1 species
CACCGAAAAGGCAAACCUGGGGUGACCCGGGGACGCAAAGCCACCUAUCCAGGAAAGCCUGGAAAGAGGGGCUAUCGAAG